rnacentral:rRNA from 1 species
UCUUACCAUGCAGUCGAACGGUGAAGCCCCGCUUGCGGGGUGGAUCAGUGGCGAACGGGUGAGUAACACGUGAGCAACCUGCCCCUGACUCUGGGAUAAGCGCUGGAAACGGCGUCUAAUACUGGAUACGAGACGUGAUCGCAUGGUCAACGUUUGGAAAGAUUUUUCGGUUGGGGAUGGGCUCGCGGCCUAUCAGCUUGUUGGUGAGGUAAUGGCUCACCAAGGCGUCGACGGGUAGCCGGCCUGAGAGGGUGACCGGCCACACUGGGACUGAGACACGGCCCAGACUCCUACGGGAGGCAGCAGUGGGGAAUAUUGCACAAUGGGCGCAAGCCUGAUGCAGCAACGCCGCGUGAGGGAUGACGGCCUUCGGGUUGUAAACCUCUUUUAGCAGGGAAGAAGCGAGAGUGACGGUACCUGCAGAAAAAGCACCGGCUAACUACGUGCCAGCAGCCGCGGUAAUACGUAGGGUGCAAGCGUUAUCCGGAAUUAUUGGGCGUAAAGAGCUCGUAGGCGGUUUGUCGCGUCUGCUGUGAAAUCUGGGGGCUCAACCCCCAGCCUGCAGUGGGUACGGGCAGACUAGAGUGCGGUAGGGGAGAUUGGAAUUCCUGGUGUAGCGGUGGAAUGCGCAGAUAUCAGGAGGAACACCGAUGGCGAAGGCAGAUCUCUGGGCCGUAACUGACGCUGAGGAGCGAAAGGGUGGGGAGCAAACAGGCUUAGAUACCCUGGUAGUCCACCCCGUAAACGUUGGGAACUAGUUGUGGGGUCCAUUCCACGGAUUCCGUGACGCAGCUAACGCAUUAAGUUCCCCGCCUGGGGAGUACGGCCGCAAGGCUAAAACUCAAAGGAAUUGACGGGGACCCGCACAAGCGGCGGAGCAUGCGGAUUAAUUCGAUGCAACGCGAAGAACCUUACCAAGGCUUGACAUAUACGAGAACGGGCCAGAAAUGGUCAACUCUUUGGACACUCGUAAACAGGUGGUGCAUGGUUGUCGUCAGCUCGUGUCGUGAGAUGUUGGGUUAAGUCCCGCAACGAGCGCAACCCUCGUUCUAUGUUGCCAGCACGUAAUGGUGGGAACUCAUGGGAUACUGCCGGGGUCAACUCGGAGGAAGGUGGGGAUGACGUCAAAUCAUCAUGCCCCUUAUGUCUUGGGCUUCACGCAUGCUACAAUGGCCGGUACAAUGGGCUGCAAUACCGUGAGGUGGAGCGAAUCCCAAAAAGCCGGUCCCAGUUCGGAUUGAGGUCUGCAACUCGACCUCAUGAAGUCGGAGUCGCUAGUAAUCGCAGAUCAGCAACGCUGCGGUGAAUACGUUCCCGGGUCUUGUACACACCGCCCGUCAAGUCAUGAAAGUCGGUAACACCUGAAGCCGGUGGCCUAACCCUUCGGGGAGGGAGCUUCGAAGGUGA